UUUACUUAAUUACAUAAAAUUUGAGAAAUCGUCUUUUGUCAUAUAUAACUUUAGCCUUGACACAUAUUGGUUACGAUACAUUUGAAACUAAUCAGUUAGUUAAAGAAUGAAAUAAUAGAAUUGCAUUUAUUUAGGGUCAUCUGAAAACUAUUUGGGCUCCUUCAUUCCACCUUCUCCCCGAAUUAACACCAUUAACAAUAAGCAACACCCCCUCAAUUCUAAUUUUCAACACCUUACUACUGCCACCAUCCUCCAAUUUCCAUUUUUUAUCAACAUUCAAAAUAGAAAAUUUUCAUGACUGAUUUUGUGAUUCAAAAUUUUGGUUCAAUUUCUUCCAUCUAUUUUAAUAUUUUCUUCUUUUUUUUUUUUUAAUAUUUGAAUUGAAAAAAAACAACAAUAUUGACGAUUUCAUCGGAACGGUGAUUGUUUGAUGAUUUGAUUUUCAUAGGAAUAAUACAUGAUUCUGAUUUUGUCAAAACUGUGUUGGGGUGGUGGAUUUGAUCUUUUUUGGCAGACAUCACUUUAGGAGGUCAGCUUGGCAUUGAUAUUUGGAUGGACGGCUUGGUAUUUGGGUGGUGGUCGGCUUGGUGUUGGGUGGUUGGCCUCAAAAUGAAUCACAAGUAUGAAAUAUAAUAUAUUGAGUAUUUGUGAUUUAUUUUGAAGCAAUAUUCUAUAUGUAUUUUUAUUCUGAAUUAUUGUAUUUAUAUUUGUAAUACAUAUGGUAGCAUUGUCAUGUAGAAUAUAGUUGUGUAUUUAUGAUUCAUAUUUGUGUUCAUUUGAAAUUCAUAUUUCAAUGCAAUGUAUGAAUAUUUGUGAUACAUUUGGCAGUCUUUCAUACAAAAUGUAG
rnacentral:lncRNA from 1 species